UACGUAGGGGGCAAGCGUUGUCCGGAUUUACUGGGCGUAAAGAGCGCGUAGGCGGAGAUCUAAGCGUGGCCUGAAAGCCCCCGGCUCAACCGGGGAGUGCGGCUGCGAACUGGGUUUCUUGAGGACGAUAGAGGAGAGUGGAAUUCCUGGUGUAGCGGUGAAAUGCGUAGAUAUCAGGAGGAACACCCGAGGCAAAGGCGGCUCCCUGGGUCGUACCUGACGCUGAGGCGCGAAAGCGUGGGGAGCGAACGGG
rnacentral:rRNA from 1 species